GAGGAUGAUCCGCCACACUGGUACUGAGACACGGACCAGACUCCUACGGGAGGCAGCAGUGAGGAAUAUUGCACAAUGGGGGAAACCCUGAUGCAGCAACGCCGCGUGGAGGAUGACGCAUUUCGGUGUGUAAACUCCUUUUAUAUGUCAAGAAAAUGACGGUAGCAUAUGAAUAAGCACCGGCUAACUCCGUGCCAGCAGCCGCGGUAAUACGGAGGGUGCAAGCGUUAUUCGGAAUCACUGGGCGUAAAGGACGCGUAGGCGGGAUGCCAAGUCUGAUGUGAAAUCCUAUGGCUUAACCAUAGAACUGCAUUGGAAACUGGUAACCAGAGUAUGGGAGGGGGAGAUGGAAUUAGUGGUGUAGGGGUAAAAUCCGUAGAUAUCACUAGGAAUACCGAAAGCGAAGGCGAUCUCCUGGAACAAUACUGACGCUAAGGCGUGAAAGCGUGGGGAGCAAACGGGAUUAGAUACCCCGGUAGUCCACGCCCUAAACGAUGAACACUAGUCGUCGGAAUGCUAGUCAUUUCGGUGAUGCACUUAACAGAUUAAGUGUUCCGCCUGGGGAGUACGGUCGCAAGAUUAAAACUCAAAGGAAUAGACGGGGACCCGCACAAGUGGUGGAGCAUGUGGUUUAAUUCGAAAAUACGCGAAGAACCUUACCUAGUCUUGACAUUGAAGAAAUACCCUAGAGAUAGAGUAGUGCCCUUCGGGGAAUCUGAAAACAGGUGCUGCACGGCUGUCGUCAGCUCGUGUCGUGAGAUGUUGGGUUAAGUCCCGCAACGAGCGCAACCCUCGUCCUUAGUUGCCAGCAGUUUGGCUGGGCACUCUAAGGAGACUGCCUUCGCAAGGAGGAGGAAGGUGAGGGCGACGUCAAGUCAUCAUGGCCCUUAUGGCUAGGGCUACACACGUGCUACAAUGGGGCGUACAGAGAGUUGCGAUACCGCGAGGUGGAGCCAAUCUCAUAAAGCGUCUCUCAGUUCGGAUUGGAGUCUGCAACUCGACUCCAUGAAGCUGGAAUCACUAGUAAUCGUAGAUCAGCAAUGCUACGGUGAAUACGUUCCCGGGUCUUGUACUCACCGCCCGUCACACCAUGGGAGUUGAUUUCACCCGAAAUUGGGAAGCUAACCUUCGGGGGGCUACCACUUACGGUGGAAUUAGCGACUGGGGUGAAGAAGUAACAAGGUAACCGUAGGAGAACCUGCGGUUG
rnacentral:rRNA from 1 species